rnacentral:rRNA from 1 species
UACGUAGGGUGCGAGCGUUAAUCGGAAUUACUGGGCGUAAAGCGUGCGUAGGCGGUUGGCAAAGUCAGCUGUGAAAGCCCCGGGCUUAACCUGGGAAUGGCGGUUGAAACUACUUGGCUAGAGUGUGGCAGAGGGAGGUGGAAUUCCACGUGUAGCGGUGAAAUGCGUAGAGAUGUGGAGGAACACCGAUGGCGAAGGCAGCCUCCUGGGCCAACACUGACGCUCAUGCACGAAAGCGUGGGGAGCGAACAGG